GCUGCCACAUUAGCCAGAGUUUUAGUUUAUAAAAUAUAAAAGAAAACUCAGAAAGCGAACAUCAACCCUAAAACUCAGAAACCCACAUUUCUCUCACUCACAAACAAGUCAAGAACACAGUGAAGCAGAUCGAAAAUGGCGGAAUCGAAGAAGAACGACAUCGUUCAUUCACCGCUCGUCACCUAUGCUUCCAUGAUUUCUCUCCUCACACUCUGUCCUCCUUUCGUAAUUUUACUGUAAGUACUGAUUAAUUGAUCCCUAAUUGAAUCUCUAAUCUUCGAUUUUGAAUUUGAAUCAGAUCUAAUUUGAAAUUGAUCAGUUUUGAACACUGACGGUUGCGGAUGGAUCGGUUUUGAACACUUUUGAUUACUUUAGGAUUAACGGUUUUCAAGGUUUUGUUGAUUUGUGGCCUAAACCUACUCUUCUCACUUGCGAAAUUAUCGCUGCUUAUGGUGUUUUUGAAGUCAUGCUUCAGCUUCUUCUUCCUGGUAAAAUUGUUUACAACCCUAUUUCUCCCACUGGCAAUCGUCUUGUGUAUAAGGCGAAUGGUGUUGCUGCGUAUUUAGUCACUUUGGUUACUUAUGUUGCUCUUUGGUGGCGUGCCAACAAUCGUUUAUGAUCAUUUGGGAGAGAUUUAUUCAACCCUUAUCUUUGGGAGCUUAAUCUUUUGUGUUUUCUUGUACAUAAAAGGUCAUUUGGCACCAUCUUCGUCUGAUUCUGGCUCCUCUGAAGAGGAUUCUUUGGUUCUGUCACAUAGGUUCAAUGUCAAUGGUGAUAAAGAGAAUGUUAGGUCUCGUUUAAAGGUUAGUAAUCAAGAAGCAAUACACAUUGCUCGUCAAUUUUGCGUAGAAAACAAUAAACAACCAUUGAUGGCAUGUAAAAAGCUUGCGGAAUUUUCUGCUUCACGAGGCUCGUUGGAUGAUACAAGUGUUAUGCUAAUCAAAUUGAAACAUUAUACUUAGAAGGUUCAUUAGUAGAAGAAGAGAAGAAGGUGGUGCAUGAUGAUAAAGAUUAGCUUAUUCUUUUAUGUAGAUAAUAAUUAUCACUAGUUAUUGAUUAUUUAUAUCUAACGACAUUUAUCGGUGAUUUUUUUGUACCCGUAGAUGGGUGGUAGAAGAGAUUAACAUUGCAGUUUAGAAAUUUUUUACUAAGAGACAUGCUGAAGUCAAUGUACUUAAUGUUUAAGAUCCUGUGAAAAGUUUUCUAUGGAACGUCUUAAGUUGCUAGGUGAUUCUGUUUUAAAAUAUGCUGUCAGUUGUCAUCUCUUUCUUAAAUAUCCUAAGAAACAUGAAGGACAUAUAUCCGCAAAAAGACAAUGGGUUGUUCGUAAUUCAACCCUACAUAAACUUGGAAUAGAACGAAAAUUACAGGUAGUCUUUACUAUGGCUAUUAUUUUUUAUUUCGCCACUGUCAAGGAGCAUAAAACUUAAAUUCUUAGUAAAAAAUAUGUCAAUGCUUAUUAUUUUGUCAUGUUUUCUGACAGGGAUAUAUUCGAGACUUCGCAUUUGAACCACGUCGUUGGAUUACUCCUGGACAAGAUUUUGUUGGAUUACACUAAUGCUUUGGCUGCUGCUAAGGAGGCUGAAGCAUUCGUAGAGGCUCGAGCCAACAAUGAAGCAAGAACUGAGCUAGAGAGUCGUCUAAGAGAAGCCAGGGAACAUGAAUCUAUCACUAGUUAUUUUGAAAUUGAAGCUUAGACUUUUGUUUGACUAUGAUCUGUUGGUUGAAAUUUGUGUUAUCUUUCCUCCUAUGCUAAACAAUUUUAUAUUUGAAAAGACUUUGUUUUGGUAACCAUAUCAUUGGUGAGGAAUAACAUGUAUUUUGGCAUAUAAAAAAGCAGUGAUAUAUCAUUGUUAAAAACAUUAGUGGUAGCCGAUGCAGGACAUUCAAUCAAUGAAUCUUCUCCUCACAGAUAAGAUGACUACACCUUUAUUAGACGUAUUCAAGCUACUUCUCAUGUGACUGGCAGUGUCAUAGGUUAAUCGAUGGUUGUCAAGUUGUGGUUAUAAGAUUUGGUAUGAGAUUCGAAUAUUCUUCGGAGGACCUGACAAUAAUGAAGCGCUUGCUUACGAUAUGAGAAUAGUCGAACAUCCUGACAUUGUGCUAAUUGUUGUUAAAUUUGUGUCUCCACCCGGAACAACAUUAUCAUUAGGCGCUAAGUUAGUCGGUGUUGCAUCGGUAGAAUAUACUAUGUUAGGAAGAAUGUAAAUAGGUUAACAGUUGAUUGUAUAUUAUCAAAGAAUGUAAAUAGGUUAACUGGUGAUUGUAUGUUAUUAUUUCAUCAUUAAUUUUUUUACUGAGGUGCUUUUGAA